GAAUGGUUAUGAUUAGCACAUCUUUUAAUCCAAGGGUUGAGAUCAGACGUACCUUUUUUUAAAGGGAAGCUUUGUGUCGGUGGUGAAGCAUUGUGUCCGUUAAUGGAGUUGUGACUCCUGGUUCGCACUUCUUCCUCUAAUAUAUAUUUGAUAAACUGUUUACAAUUUCUCAAUUUUCUAAAUUUUAUUUCUGAUUACUGAUUUCUUAUUUUCCAUUCAAUCUCUCCGCUACUGCUCUGCAUUUAUAUUCUCCGUCCAUCUCUUUUCCAUAAAUAGUCAUGGUAUGUUUUCUGGUACUUCUGUUCUGGUUAGUUAAAUAAUUGAAUUAGCAGUUGUUUUCUUUUUUAAAACGAAUAUGUAAUGAGUAUUCCUAGAGAUGGGAUUUGGGCCACCUGGGACUUCGUGUCCAUGGUUAUUGAGCAUCUUCCCCUUCCUCCAUGUUUUCAUAGUCCGUCAAACGUUAAACCUCUGUCUCCUUCGCCCUUCCGGCGAAGCCACGGCCACAUUAUUUACGUAUUGAUCUCAGUGGCGGAGGUAGAGUGUUGGCAGGUGGGUCAAAUGACCCAUGUGGAUUUUAUAAAAAAAAAAUUACAUGUAUAAUCCUUUAAAACCUAGGUAAAUCUUGCAAAUUUUAGCUAAAUAACCCUUGUGAUAUAUGCUAAUUUUGAAAUUGACCCCUGAGAAGUUUUUUCUACCUCCGCCACUGAUUUAUCUUUGUAAUGAAUACAGUGAGUCGGUGAGUUCAGUGGUUCUUUGAUGGCUUUGGAGUAUUAGAGAAAGGAAGAAGAAGAGAACAAGUGCAGUGAUGAUGUUAGAAGUUCUCAUCACAUGUAAUACCAAAUAUAAGAUUUUGUACGUAUUCUUUUACAAAAAAAAAAGAUUUUGUACGUAUUCAGUAAUACAACAAAAAUAACAAUAGACAAAAAAAAAGAGUUCAAGAGAGAGAUGAAAGAUGUGAGAGGUUGUGUAUGCAAUUUAAAUCACAAAAGGAGUAAUUUCUUAGUUUACUAUUCUUCACAAAAUUAUUACAAUAAAUUGUUUAAAGAUAUAAGUAAAAACAC
rnacentral:lncRNA from 1 species